AUUGAACGCUGGCGGCAUGCCUUACACAUGCAAGUCGAACGGCAGCACGGGUGCUUGCACCUGGUGGCGAGUGGCGAACGGGUGAGUAAUACAUCGGAACGUACCUUAUCGUGGGGGAUAACGCAGCGAAAGCUGUGCUAAUACCGCAUACGCCCUGAGGGGGAAAGCGGGGGAUCGAAAGACCUCGCGCGAUUAGAGCGGCCGAUGCCUGAUUAGCUUGUUGGGGGGGUAAAAGCCCACCAAGGCGACGAUCAGUAGCUGGUCUGAGAGGACGAUCAGCGACACUGGGACUGAGACACGGCCCAGACUCCUACGGGAGGCAGCAGUGGGGAAUUUUGGACAAUGGGGCAACCCUGAUCCAGCAAUGCCGCGUGAGUGAAGAAGGCCUUCGGGUUGUAAAGCUCUUUUGUCAGGGAAGAAACACCGGCUCUAACACAGUCCGGGAAUGACGGUACCUGAAGAAUAAGCACCGGCUAACUACGUGCCAGCCGCCGCCGUAA
rnacentral:rRNA from 1 species